CGACACAGUGCUGUGAUUGCUGGCAAUGUGAGGGGGACACGAUAACGAGAUUCAGCGCAAACCGCGUCAUCGGCUGCCACUUUUGCUCAGUAAGUGGGUGGCUGUGGGAAAUUGGCAGCCAGCUCCGGGAGAAUUGCCAACUCUUCGGAAGGCUGGGAGUGCCACCCAGGCACGUAUGUACUGCUCUCUGUAUGAGAUUCGCGAUCCUGAACUCUUCCGGCAAAAUCAGGACUGUUAGGAGUUGCAUCCAACAUUUGCUGGUCAGUACCGUGCCAUUAUGGCAUCAGGGUCCUGGCACAAGUCACAAAAGGCCUCAGUACUUCAAGUUUUCCUCAGCUGCAGUAACCAUGACAUCCAUCCAGAUCCUCAUGG